rnacentral:rRNA from 1 species
UGGGGAAUAUUGCACAAUGGGCGAAAGCCUGAUGCAGCAACGCCGCGUGAGUGAUGAAGGCCUUCGGGUUGUAAAGCUCUGUCUUCUGGGACGAUAAUGACGGUACCAGAGGAGGAAGCCACGGCUAACUACGUGCCAGCAGCCGCGGUAAUACGUAGGUGGCAAGUGUUGUCCGGAUUUACUGGGCGUAAAGGAUGCGUAGGCGGAUACUUAAGUCAGAUGUGAAAAUCCCGGGCUUAACUUGGGAACUGCAUUUGAAACUGGGUAUCUAGAGUGCGGGAGAGGAAAGUGGAAUUCCUAGUGUAGCGGUGAAAUGCGUAGAGACUAGGAAGAACACCAGUGGCGAAGGCGACUUUCUGGACCGUAACUGACGCUGAGGCAUGAAAGCGUGGGGAGCAAACA